rnacentral:rRNA from 1 species
GACGAACGCUGGCGGCAUGCCUAAUACAUGCAAGUCGAGCGAACAGAUGAAGUGCUUGCACUUCUGACGUUAGCGGCGAACGGGUGAGUAACACGUAAGGAAUCUACCUAUAAGCGGGGGAUAACAUUCGGAAACGGGUGCUAAUACCGCAUAAUAUCUUCUUCCGCAUGGAGGAAGAUUGAAAGACGGCUCUGCUGUCACUUAUAGAUGACCUUGCGGUGCAUUAGUUAGUUGGUGGGGUAAUGGCCUACCAAGACGAUGAUGCAUAGCCGACCGGAGAGGGUGAUCGGCCACAUUGGGACUGAGACACGGCCCAAACUCCUACGGGAGUCAGCAGUAGGGAAUCUUCCGCAAUGGGCGAAAGCCUGACGGAGCAAUGCCGCGUGAGUGAAGAAGGCCUUCGGGUCGUAAAACUCUGUUAUAAGAGAAGAACAAAUUGUAGAGUAACUGCUACAGUCUUGACGGUAUCUUAUCAGAAAGCCACGGCUAACUACGUGCCAGCCGCCGCAGUAA